UACGUAGGGGGCGAGCGUUGUCCGGAAUCAUUGGGCGUAAAGCGCGUGUAGGCGGCUUGGUAAGUCCGGUGUGAAACCUUGGGGCUCAACCCCAAGCCUGCACUGGAUACUGCCUCGCUUGAGUCCGGGAGGGGAGAGCGGAAUUCCUAGUGUAGCGGUGAAAUGCGCAGAUAUUAGGAAGAACACCGGUGGCGAAGGCGGCUCUCUGGAACGGUACUGACGCUGAGACGCGAAAGCGUGGGGAGCGAACAGGAUUAGAUACCCUGGUAGUCCACGCCGUAAACGAUGGGCACUAGAUGUGGGCGGUGUCGACUCCGCCCGUGUCGCAGCUAACGCAUUAAGUGCCCCGCCUGGGGAGUACGGCCGCAAGGCUAAA
rnacentral:rRNA from 1 species